rnacentral:RNase_P_RNA from 2 species
CAACCACGGCCUCGAACCGGGUGGGUUCGGCAACGACCCACCUGAGGAAACUCCCCCAAAGCCGUGGAUCCCCGCGGGGCAACCCGCCGACCGAGAGGUCGCAGGGGAUGGUGGCCCAAGUAGGGACCUGUGAUCUCCACGGGUGAGGUCCGGGUAGGGCCUUAGAGCAAUGCUACAGAAGGGGGGUUAUGCCGUGGUUG